UAUUCUUAUUUCAUAUUUGCAAGUGCCGUGUAUAUAUUGUUUUUAUUGUAACGUAAUAACAUAAUUGGCUUACAAGAUGUACAUGAUUUGAUCUUACACUGAUGUGCAGGCAAACAUUCUGGUUAUGCCCUCUGUUUUGCCAAUGUAUUUUCACUUUUUGUAGUGGGUGAAGUAUAAACCUGUGUUAGAACGUUCGUUCCUAUGCGGCACCUAAUACAAACACAAACUAAGAUUAAGUACACACAGGCACAUGUAAUGGGAUCGUAGUAUGAGGUGACCUUAAUGGAGGAAAACUCGAACUGCAUCAAUAAGCGGUGGCAAAGAUGUGGGUAGAGGUCAAACAUAGUGAUUGACUUUUCUAUAUUGCAGAAAAUAAAACCCUAAACACUCCAAACAGAAGUACUCACCCCUUUUCCUGGAUAUAAUCAAUUGUCUCACUUGUACAUGUGUCAUGUUUAAACAACCCAAAGGCAAUUUAUCAACAUAAGGAAAUAAAAAAUGUAAAGUCAUUUAGAAUUUAAACACAAAUGAUGAAGAAGGAAUAUUAUUGUGAUUCGUUUCAUUUUCUUACACACGGCUGUCUCUAGUGUAAAAUCAGUAACAGUUUUGCCCCCAAUAAAAGAUUAUGGCAACUCUUGCUCAGUACUUCCGAACGAUUUCUGUUUCCGCAGAAAACACGAGGGGGUAUCAAUUUAGAGAUGCCACACGUCAGGAAAGGCAGAGUAAUCUGUAAUCUCAGAAGGGGACGUAGACAUGACACGUGCAAGUGAAGAGAGAUUCAUUAGUGAUACAACCAAUUUUAAUCUAGAUUGCUCACAAAUGAAAUUCAUCCUAAAGUUGAAUGAAAACAAAUUAGUGUCAUUAGUUGGCCGUGGCACAGAAGUAAAGUAUAGAUAGAUGGUGUCAUUAGUUUGGGGUAACAAUGUUUGGUUGGAACAUUAUCGGGGUAACAAUGUGUUUAAAGAUGACUUCAGAAAAAUUAUAACGCAGAGCAACUACCAAAUGCAAACAGCAAAGAUCU
rnacentral:lncRNA from 1 species